rnacentral:lncRNA from 10 species
UUCCCAUUUACCGUACCUGUUAAUGCCGGGUAGCCAAGCAAGAAAACUAGUAAAUCUCCCAACGGGAAGCACUCCAGACCUCAGGGGCUGAGGGAAGAGCUGACUCAGCACCAGCAGUGCCGCUGCUCAGCCUGGUGCCUGCCCUCCACAGCCCUGACCUCAGAGCGGUCCCCAGACCAGCAACAUCAGCAUCCCUGGGAGCAUCAGAAAUGCAGAGCUCAGGCCCGCCCCGGAGCUACCGAAUCAGAACCUCCAUUUUACACACCCCUCAGCUCAGAGCUUGUUUCUCCCUGGAUUCCAUGGCCCUGUGCUGCUGGCAGCCCGGGGUUAGGGCAUUUCGUUGUCACCUGGCGACGGUGAAGCCUGGUUUCCUCCAGAGAGAUUUUUCUGCCGAACUCCGAACUCCGAGUUGUAGGACCUCUCUCCUGCUGGUGCCCUCCUCCGCCCAGACUGCCCAGCCGCUGGUGAGCACAGGGCAGGGCCUGCCCACCCUCGGCCGGUCCUUCGCGUGCUCCAGGCUUGGCAGGGGGAAGUGAAAGAGGGAAGGAAAAGAACUGAACUUCCUCCCGAGGGGUGGGAGAGGUCUGGCCCUUUUCCAGUCUCUCAGUGAGGAAGUGAAAAGAAGGCAACACCGGCCCUCUCAAUGCAGCCCAGGAAGCGAGGGGGCUGAGGGAACCCCUCCAGUCCUCAGGGGGAGCCCUGCCUGACGGGCUGGCAUCCCUGCAGCCCCAGCAGCCAAGUCCGGAUCACCUAUGUGGGGGUGCGGGGGUGGGUGUCAGGCUGGGCACCAAAUGGGCGUGCGUGGGGUUCGAAGCAGAGGAGAAACAAAAGCCUAUGUCAAUGCCGUUUUACAAAAGUGUUGUGUAUUUAGCCAAUUCCGGGCUGAGUCCUGGACCAAGCCCCAUGUUCCGGUUUCUGCAGCACAGCAAGGCCUUUUCUAACAUAUUCCAGAUGCUGCUCUCCAUCCAAGUGAAGUGGCAAUGGUGCCAGCCUGAGAUUUCUGCCCUGAGUUUUAAGUACGAGAGUGUGGGCUGACAAUAAACUCCUUUAUUCUACCCUCUUCUGUUCUCAUAAGGAGAAAUUUAAAUUCUGGAAGAGAUGAAGCUUGCAUUUACCCAGGCCUGUUAAUGAAGAAUGUUGGACUAAAUUUUGAGAAUUCAGACUGCUUAAGAAAUUUGCUUCAGAAUCCCCAAAGGAUUCUGCAAGGAGCUAGAAAGAACAUUUUCUAACAUCAGUUACUUGUUUUAAUAAACUCCUUCGGGGUAAGAUUUUGAUUCCCACCACUGAUCAUAUCAUUAAAAAGUGUAUUCUCUGCACUAACUUCUUCUUCUCCUUGAAGUAUCACCACCAAAACCCUGAGCAUGUUUUGUCAUUGAUUUAGCUCUUCUGAUCUUAGGACUUGAGUUUAAUGUCACUGAGAAGCAAGUGUAAGCUGAGGGUUACAUAAACGAUUGCCAGAAUAUCUGGAUGCUUACAAAUAAAGAUAGG